rnacentral:rRNA from 1 species
AUUGAACGCUGGCGGCAUGCCUUACACAUGCAAGUCGAACGGCAGCGCGGGGCAACCUGGCGGCGAGUGGCGAACGGGUGAGUAACAUAUCGGAACAUACCCUAGAGUGGGGAUAACGUAGCGAAGUUACGCUAAUACCGCAUACGCACUAAGGUGGAAAGUGGGGGAUCUUCGGACCUCAUGCUCAUGGAGUGGCCGAUAUCUGAUUAGCUAGUUGGUGAGGUAAAGGCUCACCAAGGCGACGAUCAGUAGCUGGUUUGAGAGAACGACCAGCCACACUGGAACUGAGACACGGUCCAGACUCCUACGGAGGCAGCAGUGGGGAAUUUUGGACAAUGGGGGGCAACCCUGAUCCAGCAAUGCCGCGUGAGUGAAGAAGGCC